rnacentral:rRNA from 1 species
AGCGAACGCUGGCGGCAUGCUUAACACAUGCAAGUCGCGCGGUCAGUAAUGGCAGCGGCGGACGGGUGAGUAACACGUAGGAAUCUAUCCCAGGGUGGGGGACAACAGCGGGAAACUGCUGCUAAUACCGCAUGAUACCUGAGGGUCAAAGGCGCAAGUCGCCUUGGGAGGAGCCUGCGUCUGAUUAGCUUGUUGGUGGGGUAAAGGCCUACCAAGGCGACGAUCAGUAGCUGGUCUGAGAGGAUGAUCAGCCACAUUGGGACUGAGACACGGCCCAA